rnacentral:rRNA from 1 species
CGUACGGGCGGCUGCAGUGGGGAAUAUUGGACAAUGGGGGGAACCCUGAUCCAGCCAUGCCGCGUGUGUGAAGAAGGCCCUCGGGUUGUAAAGCACUUUCAGUGAGGAAGAACGCCUGGUGGUUAAUACCCAUCAGGAAAGACAUCACUCACAGAAGAAGCACCGGCUAACUCCGUGCCAGCAGCCGCGGUAAUACGGAGGGUGCGAGCGUUAAUCGGAAUUACUGGGCGUAAAGCGCGCGUAGGUGGCUUGAUAAGCCGGUUGUGAAAGCCCCGGGCUCAACCUGGGAACGGCAUCCGGAACUGUCAAGCUAGAGUGCAGGAGAGGAAGGUAGAAUUCCCGGUGUAGCGGUGAAAUGCGUAGAGAUCGGGAGGAAUACCAGUGGCGAAGGCGGCCUUCUGGACUGACACUGACACUGAGGUGCGAAAGCGUGGGUAGCAAACAGGAUUAGAUACCCGUGUAGUC